rnacentral:misc_RNA from 1 species
GCACUUGUUUGGAAGUAAAAGUCGUAACAAGGUUUCCGUAGGUGAACCUGCGGAAGGAUCAUUACCGAGUGAGGGUCCCCUCCGGGGGCCCAACCUCCCACCCGUGUCUACCGUACCAUGUUGCUUCGGCGGGCGCGCCCGUGCCCGCCGGAGACCCCUUGAACGCUGUUGUGAAUAAGGUUGUCUGAGUGAUAUUGCAAACUGUCAAAACUUUCAACAACGGAUCUCUUGGUUCCGGCAUCGAUGAAGAACGCAGCGAAAUGCGAUAAGUAAUGUGAAUUGCAGAAUUCCGUGAAUCAUCGAAUCUUUGAACGCACAUUGCGCCCCCCGGCAUUCCGGGGGGCAUGCCUGUCCGAGCGUCAUUGCCACCCCUCAAGCACGGCUUGUGUGUUGGGCUGUCGUCCCCCCCCCCCGGGGGACGGGCCCGAAAGGCAGCGGCGGCACCGCGUCCGGUCCUCGAGCGUAUGGGGCUCUGUCACCCGCUCCGGAGGCCUGGCCGGUGCCCGCCCACCCCGUCGAUCUUUCCAGGUUGACCUCGGAUCAGGUAGGGAUACCCGCUGAACUUAAGCAUAUCAAUAAGCGGAGGAAAAGAAACCAACAGGGAUUGCCUCAUUAACGGCGAGUGAAGCGGCAAGAGCUCAAAUUUGAAAUCUGGCCCCCUUCGGGGGUCCAAGUUGUAAUUUGGAGAGGAUGCUUCGGGCACGGCCCCCGUCUAAGUGCCCUGGAACGGGCCGUCAAGAGGGUGAGAAUCCCUUUGGGACGGUGGCCGGCCCGUGUGAACUCCUUCGACGAGUCAGUUUUUGGGAUGCACUCUAAUGGGGGAAAUUUCAUCUAAGCUAAUAUGGCCGAAACCAUAGCGCACAUUAGAGUGUCGAAAAUAAAAGCACUUGGAAGAGAGUAACGCACUGAAAUGUUAAAGGGAACGCUGCGACAGAUCGCCGGGGGGCUCACCGGACUGUGCGGGCAUCCCCCGGCGGCAGCUCGGUUGGCGGCCGUAAAGCCCCGAAGUGCCCCUCCGGCGUUUAAACCGGGUGCAUGAGCAGCCAAACGAGAACGCUUCGGUCGACCUGCUUAUGUCAAACGCCCUUUGAAACGACAAGAUUAAAUUACCAAGUCGGGGCAACCUCCCCAUAAAGAAGAGGGGACCCCGGGGCCCCCCCACCUAUCUCGAGAUUGAAGGCUACUUGGACCAAAAGGACUCCUAAGGGAACGAGAACUGGGAGCCACUUUUACGAACGCCCAUUGGAGGGAAAAACACUGAGGUUCCCAAUCCGAAGCUUUCUU